UAAUACGUAGGGUGCAAGCGUUAAUCGGAAUUACUGGGCGUAAAGCGUGCGCAGGCGGUUAGGAAAGAUUGAUGUGAAAUCCCUGGGCUCAACCUAGGAAUGGCAUUGAUGACUACCUGACUGGAGUACGGUAGAGGGGAGUGGAAUUCCGCGUGUAGCAGUGAAAUGCGUAGAUAUGCGGAGGAACACCGAUGGCGAAGGCAACUCCCUGGACCUGUACUGACGCUCAUGCACGAAAGCGUGGGGAGCAAACAGG
rnacentral:rRNA from 1 species